GUGUCAUCAGAAUAGUUUAGUUGGAAAUGAAUAAUAUUUUGUUUCAACUUCAUGGCAAAGAGGACAUUUUUUGUUUGUUUUAUGCACAUUAUGUAUUCACGUUGUGAAAUAUUUAUUUUGUAAAAUUAAGUUUCGUUAUUUCGAUGUUAUCGCUAUUAUUGCGAGACUUGCGCUGUGGUAAGGUGGUUUUUGCCCAGACACGUGCAGACAAGACAUACGAAGAGCAGCAGCUACAAGGACUGUUCGCUAUCUGUUCAAGGUAUUUUAUGAUUUAUUUGGUUGUGUAUAUGAAACUUAAUGCAAGAUCUGACUGUAAUCCUUAUAUUUGUGAUGUAGAUAUCGAAAGUGUAUUUUUUGUUGACCAAGACCUCCGAAGUGGCAGGCGGCAAUGAGUUUUCACGGUGUUGGUGUACCAAGACAACCCCAAAGACACUAUUAAACACCCGUCAUUUGGAAACCGU